CCUACGGGUGGCAGCAGUGAGGAAUAUUGGUCAAUGGGCGCGAGCCUGAACCAGCCAAGCCGCGUGAGGGAAGACGGUCCUAUGGAUUGUAAACUUCUUUUGUCGGGGAGCAAAAGACGCCACGCGUGGCGGUCCGAGAGUACCCGAAGAAAAAGCAUCGGCUAACUCCGUGCCAGCAGCCGCGGUAAUACGGAGGAUGCGAGCGUUAUCCGGAUUUGUUGGGUUAAAAGGGUGCGCAGGCGGAAGAUCAAGUCAGCGGUAAAAUUGAGAGGCUCAACCUCUUCGAGCCGUUGAAACUGGUUUUCUUGAGUGAGCGAGAAGUAUGCGGAAUGCGUGGUGUAGCGGUGAAAUGCAUAGAUAUCACGCAGAACUCCGAUUGCGAAGGCAGCAUACCGGCGCUCAACUGACGCUCAUGCACGAAAGUGUGGGUAUCGAACAGGAUUAGAUACCCGUGUAGUC
rnacentral:rRNA from 1 species